rnacentral:lncRNA from 1 species
CCAUUAGAAACUACACUAUAAUUCACAUAUUAUACCUGUAAUUACAGUGAGCGCUAGCUCCAUUCCAGUCAUCCUAUUAUUAUAAAAAAAACAAUAGGUGGAGGAACUUGGAAUAACAGUUAGAAGAAAGAAGAAAAAUAAAUAAUUGCGUUUGAGAUUAAAACUGAAUAACCAUUAUAGAUUAUAAGAACACAAAAAUAUAAGAAAAAUUUAAAAACAAAACUGAAUUUGAAAACUAAAAUGUCAUGUAAAAAAUAGAAACAAACAUUAAUUUUUCCUUUUUUACACAAAGAAGUAAUUGUACUACCUACCACUGAAAACCUAGAUAAUAGAAAAUCUUAAUUUAAUCCAACUGAGUGACUUAACCAUGUUUAACACUCAACAUGCCUUUGAAGUCCAAUGACUGUAGCCAUAUUUGAUAAGCACUAAGUGUGAUUAUGACCAAAAUUUUUUAUUUCAAAUAAACCCGAAAGAUAAACAUCUGUUGCCUAUUAAGUACCAAGAACAUUUUGACAAUGUAAUUGCAACUAUAGUCUGUAACAAAGUAAAAGAAAUAGAUCAGCAAAUUUUAAAAACAAAUAGCAAUUAGUGAUGCAUAAUUAAAUGAAGAUACUGGUAGUAUCUUUUAUUAAAAAAUGUAUAUUAAUAUUUUACUAAUAACUAUUGGAAAAAUCUUUACUAAUGACAGCAACUAAUAGUAUUUUAAUCAUUGAAAAUUUUAUACCUGAAAUCUUUAUAGAAGAACUUCUGGGUAAACCACGUUUGUUGUAGUUUUAUCUUCUUCACUUGAGAGUAAGACGGUAAUUCUUCUUAAUGAAGUGCACCGUGAUAAAGCAACAUAUAAUUGGCCAUGACUGAAAACUGGAUUUCGCAAGUCGAUACCAACAAUCUUGACCGAUUGUCCUUGAGAUUUAUUGAUUGUCAUUGCAAAAGCUAACCGUACUGGGAAUUGUCGACGUGACAUUUUAAAUGGUACUUGAGAAUCUGUAGGUUCAAGAGUUAUCCUUGGUAUGAAUACUGGAUCAUUAACACGGCUACCUGUUAAUAUUCUUGCUUCAAUGACUCUUAAACCUACCUGUUCGACCAUUAACCUUGUUCCAUUACAUAACCCAUCCCUAGGUUGUAAGUUUCGCAACAACAUUAUAGGGCAUCCUAUUUUAAGUUGAAGCUUAAAAGGAGGAAGACUCGGGGGAUCUAGUGCUUGCAUAUUCUCAUUUGCUAUUCGAUUUCCUCUGUCUUCAAUUCUUAUAUCAUCUUCUAUAGCUUUAUCAGCCCCAAAAUAUUCAUGCAUUUCUCCAGGAAAAUGGUUAAUAGCUAAUGCGUUUAAAUCACUGACAUCAUCAUUUCGAGCUGAAAGAAUUGUUCGAUCCCUUAAGUAAUCCGAUGUUGCUAUUCCUAGAACAUUCAACAUUGGAUAAACCUUGAAUAACAACUCAACAGAAUUCUUACACCGUGUUAUCUCUGAUGGUAAUUCAAUAUCUUCUGCCGGAUCAGUUCCAACCUGUAGUAGUAAUAUGGAAAUAGAAAUAUAGUUAAUAUAUGUGAGUUAAAUUUAAUAAAAUAUAAAUAUUUAAUUUAAGUUUUACAAAUACCUCAAUUAAAUAGUCUGCAACCUUAAUGUUUUCUACAUCAUCGCAGUUCAGUCUCAUAUUCUUUACCAAAGUGAGAACUUCUACUUCUUGCCACAGGUGAGAUUUUAUUAAGGACGCACAAACAAUUUCUUGUCUUGUUCCUUUUGGUAUCACUGGUAGUGUUUGCUUGAAAUCACCACCUAAAACAAUUGUAAUGCCUCCAAAAUAUUUUUUGUUGCCCAAAAGAUCUUGUAGGCUUCUAUCAACAGUUUCAACACAAUACCGAUGUUGCAUUGGUACUUCAUCCCACACAAUAAGUUUUGUUUGUUUCAAUAAUUCAGCCUUGAAUGAUUUCUUUCUAAUAUCGCAAACAGAAUCAUCUAAAACAUUAAGUGGUAUCUUAAAUGUUGAGUGAGUUGUUCUUCCACCAGUUAAUAGUAAUGAAAAAAAUACCUGAUGAAGCAACCAUAAUCACAAUGUGCCCUUUACUUCUGAGUGAAUCUACUAUUGUGUUGUACACAAAUGUUUUCCCUAUUCCAGCUGGACCAUUAAGAAAGAAUAUUUUGCCGCCAUUAUUUAGAACUGAAUCUGUAACUUCUUUGUAAGCAUGUAGUUAUUCAGAAUUCAAUUGAACAAUUUUUUGUUCUGCCUCAACAUUUAAUCCUUCGUAAGCUAGAGCUUCAUGUUCUAAGAUUAGAUGAUUGUUCCUAGUUUGUUGCCAAUCUCUAGUAGGUAAUGGCAUUUGAGGGUAAUCGGUUAAACUUUUACCAAGUCCUACAAGAUAUUCAUUUAAAAGAAACAAACCAUAAUCGCAUACCUCAGUAUCAGUUGGGUUUGUAAUUGAAAAACUCAUCCUUAGUUUGUGUGGUAAAUCAUCACAAAUGUUUAAGGCAUGUUUUUCCCACAAAACAUCAGGCUGCGUAGGAUUACAAUCUGUAAGUAUUAAGCAAAACAACUUGCGCAACUGAUAUCCAGUUUUCAUCUUCGCUGAUUCUUCUAAACAUUGAUCCCAUUCGUUAUCGUCCUCUAGCAAACCACGAGCUAUGCAUGCUUCUUUGUAAGUCUUGUACUCGAUAUUGUCAACAAAAUAAAGAUCUUCAAAAGAUAUUGGUCCUGGAACAACCGUCAACAACAACCUCAGAUAGAAUCUUUCACCACAAUUUGGAUUGGCAAAAUACAUCCGCCGUAUAGAAAAUGCCGAAGUCAUUCUUGGAGUCCAUUGUUUGUUGUAUUCUUUGUUCCAAACAAAAUAUUCUGGAAACUCUUGGUAUGUAUAACAUCUCGCAUUUUCAUUAGCAUUGCAAUAAUCAAAAAAAGCUGUCAAAGUUGAUUUUUGAUUUUUGGUUUUUUCCACUAUUUGUUCCGGAGGUGUAUCAGGAUCAAAUAUGCAUAAGUGCAUACCUUUGAGAUGUAGGGAAAGUCUGGUUACACUUGGACAUUCAUCAUGAAUUCGAUUUCCGAACAAUCUCCACGCUCCUUCUGUUGGCCCAAUAUAUCUUGCAUCUAUAUAUUGUUGAAUCUCAUCAUCUAAACCACCAACAACCAUGGUAGCUCUAUCAUGCCCUUUGUAAAUAUAUUUAUGAAUAUAUUUAACUGCUAUUACAGACGCACAUAUUUCAAUAUUUAUAUGACAGUCAAACUUCUCAGACAAAUAUGGGUUGUAAGGAACAACAUCCCUAUUAUCAACCAAAUGUCCUCUAACCAUAUAAUAUUUUCCAGUUUUUGUGCGUCUAUAUAUUGAAUAUCCAUCUACGUCAACUUUCGUCUCAGUAUUAUGUUCUUUAGGAUAUUUGAUCUUACAAGUACCAUUCUCCAUACAAGAAUUCUGUUCGUUGCGUUUUCCGCAAGGUCCAUGCACCAUGCAUUUCUUUAUUGUUUCGAACAACUCAGGAUGUUUUUCUGGAUCUGGGAACUCGACACUUACAAAUUUAUCUACUUGAUCGGCAGUUUUGAUUUUAUCUUCACGGUAGAGAAACAAUAAUGCAUGCAUAUGAGGUAGCCCACGCUUCUGGAACUCUAUUGUAUAAACCCUUCCAACAACUCGACCGAAAACAUUGUUCUGCAAUAUCUCAUGCAUAAUAGCCUUCCUUUUCAUUUCGAAUACAUGGGCAACCAACUCAGGACGAUCAGUUGCACUUUGUCCUGCUAAAAGUUCAUUUUGAAUCUCAGGCCAUUUUGGAUUUGCUGUUACUGUCAUGAAAAUAUUUGGAUGUUUGAAAAACCUUGUUAUUGCCAUGGAGUCUUGGUAUAUUUCAUACAUAUGUCUUGGACUUCCAAUGUGAGAAGAAGGUAGAAUAAAUCUUUUGCCAAUUUGUGAAGGAUCAUCGCCAUUGAUAACUAUAUCUGAUAAACCACCGUAAACUUCACAACGGAGCUUUUCUUGGUUGGUUCUAAAAAAGUUUAGCUUGUUUUGUUCAUAUGACGCCCAUGCAUCCACUAUAAAUUCUUGAAACAAAGGACCAGGCAAAAAUAAGGACGAAAAUUCUGUAAUUCUAUCAAACAGUCGAUAACGAAAAUACUCCCAUUGUGUCAACCUGUGUUCAUCGUCUUCGUCUGUAUAAAAUUUUUGGUUUGUUACAUCCCAAUGUUUCAUUUCAAGAGACCAACCCAUAUCACCUUUUGGAAAUAACAAAAUGUAGUGGGAAGGUAAAUAUAGUGGAUGGCAUUCACUAAUUCUUUCUAAACGAUUACUCUUCAAAUGAAGGACAAUGUCUCGUUUUUUGGCCUUUUCAGUACCAUCUCCUGGUAAAAGUACACAAAUGUCAUCUGAAGUUGGAAGAUUAUAUCGUCUUGGAUCAGUAUCGGGCAUAAAAGCUAACCUUACAGGUAUAUUCUGGUUUUCUUCAUCAUUAGCUUCUCUAAGUAUUUCGUAUGCGGACUUGUAGAUUUUGCAUAACUUGUUUUCUUCCAACAAAGUGUCUUGAAUAAUCUUUAAAACUUCUGGAUCCAAGUGUGUGUUGCGUUUCUUCCUAUAUUCUAGUGCUUCAUUUGGAUCAUAGAUGUGCAAUUGUGAAUAACAUGGAUCAUUUCCUUCCUCUGGCAACAACGAACCAACCCUAUUCUUCAACUCACCGUGAAUAGUAAAGGAUUUUGGACCUCGACCCUUAAGUAUGCGGUCAUCCAUUUUAACACCUAGGCUUGAAAAGGCAUUUGCAGCAUUAUAUGAUCUGAUAUUUCCCCUAAAAGAUUUGGACAAUGGUCCGGAACCGUUAUAUAACGAUUGUAUAGCAUGAGGCAAUGGAGUUAGGAGUGGCAGUGUAAUUUUUCCUUGUAAACAACACAUUCCAAACAAAGGUGUAUCAACAUUGGACGAUGAUAAUUUUUCAUCGGACUAAUGAUAUGCAGAAUAGGAACUACAAAUAACAUCCAUUUUACCCAAACUAUGUCGUUUAUUUGAGACUAUAAUUUUCUCAGUUGGAAUGCUAGUUUCAUCUUCUAAGAUAGAAUCAUAAUGAGAGUCAUAUAUUGGUUGAGUAUCAGUUGAUUGGCUUUGUUAUGUUGUUGUAGAAUUAUCAUCGCUAUAAAUAAAAACAUAAGAAUAAAUAUAAGAAAAUUUAAAAAAAAAAAAAAACAACUUAGAUUGGAAAAAUGUAAAACAAAAUAAAUUCAAUUAAAAAACCAAGUAAAGCUUAACGACGAGAUUUAUAAAUCUAUAUUAUUAUUACAGUGGAUAAAGUUGUUAAAUACAAUAAUUAAAAUAGUCAUGAUAGAUAUUAAACUUCAUAAAUAUAAAUAACAAUAACAAAAUUAAUGCAAGUAGCUUUAAAGAUUAUAUUUUGUUUAAGCAUAUGAACAAGAUAUUAUCACUACUUAACUUAAUCAUCUCAUAAUAUAAAUAGAUAUUAGCUUAAAAUCUACAUACUCAACAGUUGAAGGAUGGUAUUACCGGGUUUUCAGAAUUAACUUUCUCUAAGAAUGCACCUUAUCAAAGAGAAACAUAAUGUCCAGCAAUCCAUUGCUCGCUCCAUGACCUACCAAAAAUUAGCAUGGAAUAUGGUUAUCUAACAAAACAAAGUGCGAAUUAUAAUGCCUACUACAAAACAAAAAAACUGCAUCCAAUCAAUGGGCAUAAACACCAAAACUACAUGAGUUGAGUUGCGUCACUUGCAUCAAGAAAAAGAGGUACCAGCCACUCUUUUAAUCACUUUCACUUCUUUCGUCUGUAAACUCGCAAUCCAAUAUGAUAUCUUAUACAUUGUCAAUCGUUUGUCUGUUGUUACUGUGUACUGCUUUUCUAAAUCCCAAACACAUAAGUUGAAGUUUCCAUUCUUGUGUUUGGCUUUUCUUACAUAUCAGUUAUCAACCAUAUGAAAUCUGACAUGUAGUCUUU